AGCGAACGCUGGCGGCAGGCUUAACACAUGCAAGUCGAGCGGACCAUUCGGGGUCAGCGGCGGACGGGUGAGUAACGCGUGGGAACGUGCCUUCCGGUUCGGAAUAACCCUGGGAAACUAGGGCUAAUACCGGAUACGCCCUUAUGGGGAAAGGUUUACUGCCGGAAGAUCGGCCCGCGUCUGAUUAGCUAGUUGGUGGGGUAACGGCCUACCAAGGCGACGAUCAGUAGCUGGUCUGAGAGGAUGAUCAGCCACACUGGGACUGAGACACGGCCCAGACUCCUACGGGAGGCAGCAGUGGGGAAUAUUGGACAAUGGGCGCAAGCCUGAUCCAGCCAUGCCGCGUGAGUGAUGAAGGCCUUAGGGUUGUAAAGCUCUUUUAUCCGGGACGAUAAUGACGGUACCGGAGGAAUAAGCCCCGGCUAACUUCGUG
rnacentral:rRNA from 1 species